rnacentral:rRNA from 1 species
GAUGAACGCUAGCGGGAGGCCUAACACAUGCAAGCCGAGCGGUAUUGUUUCUUCGGAAAUGAGAGAGCGGCGUACGGGUGCGGAACACGUGUACAACCUGCCUUUAUCUGGGGGAUAGCCUUUCGAAAGGAAGAUUAAUACUCCAUAAUAUAUUGAUUGGCAUCAAUUAAUAUUGAAAGCUCCGGCGGAUAGAGAUGGGCACGCGCAAGAUUAGCUAGUUGGUGAGGUAACGGCUCACCAAGGCGAUGAUCUUUAGGGGGCCUGAGAGGGUGAUCCCCCACACUGGUACUGAGACACGGACCAGACUCCUACGGGAGGCAGCAGUGAGGAAUAUUGGUCAAUGGGUGCAAGCCUGAACCAGCCAUCCCGCGUGAAGGACGACUGCCCUAUGGGUUGUAAACUUCUUUUGUACGGGAAUAAACCUCUCUACGUGUAAAGAGUUGAAUGUACUGUAAGAAUAAGGAUCGGCUAACUCCGUGCCAGCCGCCGCGGUAACAC